rnacentral:rRNA from 1 species
AACGAACGCUGGCGGCAUGCCUAACACAUGCAAGUCGAACGAGACCUUCGGGUUUAGUGGCGCACGGGUGCGCAAAGCGUGGGAAUCUACCCUCAGGUUCGGCAUAACUCAGAGAAAUUUGCGCUAAUACCGGAUGAUGACGUAAGUCCAAAGAUUUAUCGCCUGAGGAUGAGCCCGCUUCGGAUUAGGUAGUUGGUGAGGUAGAGGCUCACCAAGCCGACGAUCCUUAGCUGGUCUGAGGGGAUGGUCAGCCACACUGGGACUGAGAUACGUCCCAGCCUCCCAGGGGAGGCAGGAGUGGGGAAUAGUGAAAAAUGGGAGAAAGCCUGAAGCCGUGACGCCGCGUGGGGGAUGAAGGAAUUAGGGUUGUAGGCUUCUUACGCCCUUGACGACGACAUUGUGGUGACGGUAGCGGGAGAAGAAGCCCCGGCUAACUACGUG